GCCUAUCCAGCCUUUCCUUAUAACUCAAACCUUCCAUACCUGGCAACAUCCUGGUAAAUCUCUUCUGAACUCUCUCUAAUUUGAUAAGGUCCUUCGUAUAACUGGGAGACCAUAACUGGACAUAGUACUCCAGAAGUGCCCUCACCAAUGUCCUGUACAGCCUCAACAUAACGUCCCAACUGCUGUGCUCAAAGAACUGAGCAAUGAAGAUAGGAACUGUAGUAAUGAAGAGAGGCAGAAGAGAGGAGAGUUGGGAGAAAACUGGGAGUUGUGGAUGGAAAUAAUAGAGAUGGAUUUCGACCCAGGGAGUAAUGGACAUUUACAUGUGUGUGAGGGAGAGAGAGGUGGAUUAUAACCUGAUGUCGUGUGAUUACUGAUACUGUCCAACCCAGUCGAAAACCGUCACCUCAUCAUAUGGUCAUGGAACAGUGCGCAGGCGCAGUACUGCGUGUAACUGGAGGAUGCGCGAGAUCGGCCACGGCGGGUGACAGAGAAGUUUCAUAAAGAUGUUGGUGUCUGCUGCCUGUCCCUAAUUGCCUUUUCUGAGGGCGGUUAAGUGUCAUCCACAUGACAGUGGAACUGGAGUCGCAUGGAGUAAUAUUCUGUGUAAUCUACCUGUGCAAGUGAAGGGACCACAUUAUUCCUAGUCCUGAUUCCUGGCCUGAAACUGACUGGUACGAAUUGAUAACAAUAUACACACAGCCACUUAGCAGAAACUAACAGGAGAUCUCUCUUCUGUCGUCUUUUGGGCAAAUACGCCAAGGACCAAGACAAUGUAAUAUUUCCUCGGUACAAAGCCAAUUGUGACCAGCUGCUUCUGUCAAACAGCAGGUAAAUGCAAGAGAGAGAAGAUAUUGAUGUAGCAGGCACCAGGUCACACUGAGUUGGACUGCUGUGCUACAAAACCACGUUGGAAAUGUCACAGAUUUCCGUGCUUCUGAUCUUUUUGAAUCUUGCUCUCUGCGGCAUCAGCCAAGGUCGGAGGCAUCUGCAAAUUUCUUGGAUAAUCAUUUGGAAACCUGAGUUCUUGCUGUGCAUGUCUUUUAAGUGAUGUUUUCUUCCAAACAUGAGACAAAUGGGACUUAAUCCAGUCUUUCCAGUCCUGAGUGAGGGAUAUCCUCUCAAAGAUCGGGCACUGGAAUCAUCUUCAACUCUUCUCCCUUGCGGAUACCCCAUCAGUUACAGUGAGGACUAAUGACCAUUUUCAUUGAAUUGGUCACAUUGGACAGAGUCCAUUUAGUAAACCUGUACCAAAGGUUAACCCCACCACGAUACUUCAAAUGACUGUGUGAUUUAAAACGGGUUGAUUGGAAAAACAGAGUUGUGAUCAUUUUGAAAGGGAGAACAGAAGAACAGUAUUGUUUAAAUGGAGAGAAACUGCAGAAAGCUGCAACACAAGGGAACUUGGGGGGGACGGUGAGUGUGCAUGAAACAUAGAAAGCUCGCACAUGGGGGAUGGCAGGUAAUCAAGAAGGGUGAAGGAAAAGUUUGCUCUUAUUUCAAGGGGGUUGGAGUAUAAGAGUGUGGAAGUCUUACUGCAACUGUACACAGUGCGAUGGAGACCACAUCUGGAGCAGUUUUGCUCCUCUU